UCCUACGGGAGGCAGCAGUGGGGAAUCUUGCACAAUGGGGGAAACCCUGAUGCAGCGACGCCGCGUGAGCGAUGAAGCCCUUCGGGGUGUAAAGCUCUUUCGUCAGGGAAGAUAGUGACGGUACCUGGAGAAGCAGCUGCGGCUAACUACGUGCCAGCAGCCGCGGUAAUACGUAGGCAGCAAGCGUUGUUCGGAGUUACUGGGCGUAAAGGGUGUGUAGGCGGUUCUUUAAGUUUGGUGUGAAAUCUCCCGGCUUAACCGGGAGGGUGCGCCGAAUACUGAGGGACUAGAGUACGGGAGAGGAAAGUGGAAUUCCUGGUGUAGCGGUGAAAUGCGUAGAUAUCAGGAGGAACACCGGUGGUGUAGACGGCUUUCUGGACCGUAACUGACGCUGAGACACGAAAGCGUGGGUAGCAAACAGGAUUAGAUACCCUGGUAGUCCACGCCCUAAACGAUGCAUAUUUGGUGUGGGCAGUUCAUUCUGUCCGUGCCGGAGCUAACGCAUUAAAUAUGCCGCCUGGGGAGUACAGUCGCAAGGCUGAAACUCAAAGGAAUUGACGGGGGCCCGCACAAGCGGUGGAGCAUGUGGUUCAAUUCGACGCAACGCGAAGAACCUUACCUGGGCUCGAACGGCUUCUCAACGUCGGUAGAAAUACUGAUACCCCGCAAGGGGGUGGAGUCGAGGUGCUGCAUGGCCGUCGUCAGCUCGUGUCGUGAGAUGUUGGGUUAAGUCCCGCAACGAGCGCAACCCCUGUCCUGUGUUGCCAUCAUUCAGUUGGGAACUCGCAGGAGACCGCCAGCGAUAAGCUGGAGGAAGGUGGGGAUGACGUCAAGUCCUCAUGGCCUUUAUGUCCAGGGCUACACACGUGCUACAAUGGACGGUACAAAGCGCAGCAAACCCGC
rnacentral:rRNA from 1 species